rnacentral:lncRNA from 1 species
UACAAUCAAAAUCACAUUAUUUUUUUAUAAUUUAUUCUUUUCCUUUCUUUUAAUGUUCUACUGCUCAUCUUCUCCACAAAUCAGAUCUUCUCCACAAAUCUUUUCCUUUAUUCUACUGUUCAUCUCCUCCACAAAUCCCAACAAAAAGCUCGUUUAUUCUACUGUAAACCACCGACAAUGACACCGGAAAUAAAAAACACGAAAUAGGAGGAGAUCUGGGCGGUGGAGGAGGUGGGGGCGGCGACGGUGGAAAUCUAGGCGGUGGAGGAGGAGGCGACGGUGGAAAUCUGGGCGGCGGAGGCGGCGGACAUGGAUCCGGAGGAUCUGGCGACGACAAAUAGGAGGAGAUACCGGCGACGGUGGAAGGCUUGGAGGGAGGAUGAGGAGGAGGGCUUGGGAGGAAGAGGGGGAAGGAGUUUGUGAGGCGUGGUCAUCUGAUGUUGGGAAGGCGAGUGGUGGAGGAGAUACGACACUGAUAGUGGGAAGGUCCCUGGGAUUAUUUGUAUUAUUUAGAAGGAGUUUUAAAAAUAAAAAUAAUUAUUAAAAAAAAGGAAAAAAUAAAAUGAAAGAUUUU